rnacentral:rRNA from 1 species
CUUCCCAAGAGUCCACAUCGACGGAAGGGUUUGGCACCUCGAUGUCGGCUCGUCGCAUCCUGGGGCUGGAGUAGGUCCCAAGGGUUGGGCUGUUCGCCCAUUAAAGCGGUACGCGAGCUGGGUUCAGAACGUCGUGAGACAGUUCGGUCCCUAUCCACCAUGGGCGUUGGAGCUUUGAGAGGAGUCGUCUCUAGUACGAGAGGACCGAGACGAACGGACCUCUGGUGUAUCAGUCGUUCUGCCAAGAGCGCUGCUGAUUAGCCACGUCUGGAUGGGAUAACCGCUGAAAGCAUCUAAGCGGGAAGCCCACCUCAAGAUGAGAGCUCCCAUCUCCUAGAGAGAGUAAGAGCCGUGGGAGACCACCACGUUGAUAGGCGGAACGUGCAAGCACAGCAAUGUGUUCAGCGGAUCCGUACUAAUUGCUCGAGGUCUUGAUUU